AUUGAACGCUGGCGGCAGGCCUAACACAUGCAAGUCGAGCGAGCGGCGGACGCGUGAGUCAUGUCUGUGAAACUGCCUGACGGAGGGGGAUACCAACUGGAAACGGUAGCUAAUACCGCAUACCAUCAGUUGUGCCCAGAAGGGAUUAGCUAGUAGGUGGGGUAACGGCCCACCUCGGCGACGAUCCCUAGCUGGUCUGAGAGGAUGACCAGCCAGACUGGAAAUGAGACACGGUACAGAUUCCUACGGGAGGCAGCAGGGGAGAAAAUGGCACAAUGGGAGCAAGCUUGAUGCAGCCAUACCGAGUGUGUGAAGAAGGCCUUCGGUUUGUAAUGGACUUUCAGCGGGGAAGCGUUAGCAGCAGAAGAAGCACCGGCUAACUCCGUGCCAGCAGCCGCGGUAAGAC
rnacentral:rRNA from 1 species